UAAAAUGAUGGGACUACCACUGUUGGUCCUAUUAGUGGAAACAAUUAAUAGAAAAAUGGGCCAACAUGAAACUGUUGGUAACUUUGUAAGGGAAAAUCACUUCCCUAAAAAAGGGAACGGCAUCAGCAUCACCACUCAUGAGAGCAAUGAUUGACACUUCACAUGCACCAGCAAACCUCAUCCAGCCCGCAGCCCUCUGAGGAAAGCACUGCUGACAGCUCCAUGGUGCCCACCAGAAAAUGCAGGUGCAGCUGCUUCAGGAGCUUACUCAAGUCCCACAGCUGGUUAUUCCAAGUGUGUUCUUAGAUGUGGACAGACUAUUGCCUCCCGGUCACUGGAGCGUUCUCAAUACUUCAGCCAUCUGUGCAUGAUGGGUACAGUAGGAAUUGAAUUGUGCCAGUUGGUAACGGCUUCAGUAAGGGCUGCAGAGAAGAUACAGAACAGAAACGACCAGGAGCAGAUCCUCACGGAGCCCCCCGGCUAGUGAUGAGGAUCACUGUGCCCUGGACACGCAGACACAAGCAAUCUUCGCAUUGACCUUGUUCUGGGGCUCACUCUAAGCUAUCUCUGAAGAAAACCAUUGCCUAAUCUGGAGCUGCUACUACCAGAAAUAACCAUAGUCAAGGAAAACUCUACGUCCAAGUAAACUCAAGAUAUCAGGAAAUAAGAUUAAAAAGGAGUGUGGGGCUGCCACUGACAUUUUAAAAUCUCCUCUUUGUAUUCUCUAUUUUCAGAAAACAAUUUCAACAUCAAGCAUGAAGUUUAUGAUGAAUAUAGGAAAUAGAAGGAUGGUGAGGAUUGAGGAUUUUGUCUGUGGGAAAUUAUUAUUGUUCUGAUAUUUUAAAACAGAAGAGCCAAACCAAAACAACUGUUCUUUUGACUAAAAAGGUGAUGAGAGAUUUUUAGUGUCCCCACCACACAUGCACACACACACACAGGCACACACAUACACACCUGUGCACACACACACACGUAUGCACACGCGUACAUACAUGUACACACAUACACAUAUACACAUACACACAGGCACACCUGUGCCCACAGACACACAUAUACACACAUGCACACACACGUACACACGUACACACAUACCCAUAUACAUGCAUACACACGUGCGCAGACACACAUACACAGGAACACACACGUACACACAUGUACACACACGUAUACACAGAGACACACAGACACACACAGGCGCACACGUGCACACAUACACACACAUACACGCACAUCCGCGCACACACAAUGGCAACUAUGGGUGGGUUGGAUGUGUUAAUUUCUUUGAUUGUGGUAAUGAGUAUACAAUGUACGUGCAUAUGAAAUCAUGUUCUACACCUUGAAUAUACACAAUUUUUAUUUGUCAAUUAAAUAUUUUAAAAUUUAAAAAUAUUUCCCCUCAGGAAAAAAUUAAUAAACAAAAGUAGCAGAUUGGUUCCUUAGCAAUGUGAAUAUACUUAACACUACUGAACCGUACACUUAAAAAUGGUUACAGUAGUAAAUCUUACGUGUAUUUUACCAUAAUUCAAAACUUAAAUGUUUUUAAAGUGAAAAAGAGGCAGCAAUGGGGUUCUCACUUUAAGCUUCUCACCUCAUUUACCAGUAGGUAACUUGUUGGGGCUUUCCCAGUCAUUCUGCGUUGUCUAUGCAGGCAACUAUUUGCUUGAAUGUCCGUUUUCCAACAGAUGCCUUCCAACACGUGGAACACUCUGGAGUCAUUUCCCCAUGGGCUCCGGCUCUCCCUUCACACUGUGCUUCUGAAUAGUCUUGAAAGCAUUGCAGGAGACGACAGCACUUUCCUGCAGACACAACCACCUUGAGGGUUUCUUCUGACCUUUGCUCCUGAAAUCCUUUGCUGACCUUUCUGACUUUUGCUCCUGCAGCUGUGCUCACGCAGGUGCAGCCCAAUGGUUUUCUGAAACUGCGCCCUACCUCCCUCACCCUGACAGCAGUGCUGCAGGAGAGAUGUCACUGUCCCACCAGGCAGGUGAGGAGCCGAGGAUGCAGGACUGGCCUAGGUCACCUGGCCAGCCACUGCAUGGUGGGGCUGAGGCAUAAACCAAUGGCAAGGACGCCUGCCUCCCAAGUGACCAGCUCAGCAUCCAGUUCUGUAAUUCCAUGUCUCUGUGGAUGCAUGGUUUACUUUUACGUUUUGGAAUAUCUAUAUGAAAUCAUGGGUUUUUAUGUAGCUGUAUCAUUGUCAAGCUUGAGAAAUGCACACAUCAAAGACUUUGUUCCCGUCUAUCUCAGAGGAGGAGAAGCUAGGCAGCUGACCUCAGGGAGCAGCCAGAGGCUUGACCUGAGGAGCCUCUUGCUUACUUGUGAAUCCACAGCACCCCUGGUGACAAAAGAGAACCUGCGUGAACCCCACCCCACCCCAGCACGGUGGAAGGAAUUCAGCUGACUUUCACAAUAGCAACCAAAGCUUUUGAACUGCCCUUUUUGUAACCAAGCAAACCAAACUCGACAGUGAAAAGAGAUGCCUCUGUGAUGUGCGAAAGAUAAUUCGUUACAGUGAGUUAGAAACUGAUUUGCUUACAGAAAUUUUGGUUUUAUAUUUGAUUUACUUGUGUGCCGCAGGCUGACGGUAGCCCUGGCCGGAGGAAUUCGAGGCUACAACCCAAGCUCCCUUGCCCUGUCGCCUCUGCUUGCACCAGCUCCCGGGGAACAUUUCACACCAAAUAUUUCUUUGUAUUUAAAAAAGGACUGUAAAUGUCUGAAAAUAAUAGCUGGCACGACAGUGCCUCAUUAGUUAUCAAAUGCCACACUAUUAUGACCACGGUAUUAAUUUUUUAGUUUUCACUUACUGGAUUUUUUAAAAAUGUAGGCUGUAGUUUUCAGAAAUGUCAACUGCCAGAACACCCCCUGCUGACAGGGAAAGAGGCUUUGCAAACAUGGGAGGAAAGGACGCAAGAGGGGAGUGCGGCUGUCCUGUGCAGGGGACUCUGUCACACACCACGAACGCCUCAGUCAGACACCUCCUCUGCAUGGUACUUUCAUCACGUAGUCACUGCGAGGAAAAACUGUGCUAGAAACAACAUGCAGCUUUUUGGAAAAGUUUAUCUUUGUCAGGAUACAUAAUAGGGCCAGGCUUCAGGAGGCCUUCUCCAGGGUUCUAAAGGAAGGCAAGAGCGAAAGGAAUGCAGCCGUAGAGAAUAGUUUUGGAAUGACAGAGGCCAUAUGACUCAGCUUCACUUGGCAAAAAAAAAAAAAAAAAAGCCACUUAGUCACUUACUAUGUUGUCCCCUUCCCCUUGCCUUCAGCUCUGCCAUGCAUGUCAAAAGCAUGUUAGUGAAGAGGGAAAGUAAAAUGGCCACUUUUCUCUGGGGAAACACAGCCAUGUCCCUAAUUCCCCCAACACCUUCUGGGGACGCUUGAACUCAUCGCUGGUUGAAUUCACAGCCAUAGCUAACAUGUUUACAACAUGAUUCACUGUGUCAUGAUCUCAAGCCAUUUCUUAUUCCUUCUGCAACCAGAACCUUUUAAUAAAUACUCUUGAAAAUGGGAAACUGGCUGUCAGUUUUUAGUGACUUUCCAGCUCUUGCUUUAUAUUUUUAAUCUUAAAAUAAAACUGAUCUUUUUAAAGACACAAAUGUGUUAGUAGCCACCCAGAUACUUCUAGUGAGUAAAUUACUCUUCUGGAAUAACAAAUUAGAGGCUUUUGAAAGUGCAUUAACCCUUUAGACUCACCCUGCGCAGCUCACUUGUGCAGGGAGUUUCCACACAGCGCAUGAGUCACCAGCAAAGCUUACUCCUCGUCCACCCCUCUCCUCCCUAGGGAGUAAUUUCCUUAGAACAUCUCAGUGUUUAUGCAUUAAAGGCCCAGAAUGCAGCAGGAAUCUCCAGUAACACUAAGAAAUUCCAGAGUUGCACAUCUGAGGAAGUGGGGAGGAAUCUUCAUCUGGCUCUCCCAGUAUUAAGCGAGCAAUCAUCAAAAGUGUCACUUUUCAGAUAACUUGAGUUGACUUCUGGAAGCUUCGAGAAUGCUUUUUGAGAUGCUUUUCAAUACAUGCCUCUAAAAAAUUCACUAUAGUGUGCCUUCUGAUUUUAUUAUAUUUGGUUUGUGGUAUGGUGAGUGGCAGACCUCUUCCAG
rnacentral:lncRNA from 1 species